rnacentral:rRNA from 1 species
AAUAGAAUACCCGGGUAGUCCACGCCGUAAACGAUGGAUGCCAGCCGUUGGGCAGCUUGCGUGCUCAGUGGCGCAGUUAACGCGUUAAGCAUCCCGCCUGGGGAGUACGGUCGCAAGAUUUAAAACUCAAAGGAAUUGACGGGGGCCCGCACAAGCGGUGGAGCAUGUGGUUUAAUUCCGAAGCAACGCGCAGAACCUUACCAGCUCUUGACAUGUCACGUUUGGUUACCGGAGACGGUUUCCUUCAGUUCGGCUGGCGUGAACACAGGUGCUGCAUUGGCUGUCGUCAGCUCGUGUCGUGAGACUGUUGGGUUAAGUCCCGCAACGAGCGCAACCCUCGGCCCCCAGUUGCCAUCAUUCAGUUGGGAACUCUGGGGGACUGCCGGUGAUAAGCCGAGAGGAAGGUGGGGAUGACGUCAAGUCCUCAUGGCCCUUACGGGCUGGGCUACACACGUGCUACAAUGGUGGUGACGAGAGGGCAGGCGAAAGGGCGACCUGGAGCUAAAUCCCCAAAAGGCCAUCUCGAGUUCGGAUUGCUACG